UACGGAGGGUGCAAGCGUUAAUCGGAAUUACUGGGCGUAAAGCGUGCGCAGGCGGUUUGUUAAGUCUGCUGUGAAAUCCCCGAGCUCAACUUGGGAAUUGCAGUGGAUACUGGCAGGCUGGAGUAUGGUAGAGGAAGGUGGAAUUCCCGGUGUAGCAGUGAAAUGCGUAGAGAUCGGGAGGAACACCAGUGGCGAAGGCGGCCUUCUGGACCAAUACUGACGCUGAGGAGCGAAAGCGUGGGGAGCGAACAGG
rnacentral:rRNA from 1 species